GUGACUGCGUACCUUUUGUAUAAUGGGUCAGCGACUUAUAUUCUGUAGCAAGGUUAACCGAAUAGGGGAGCCGGAGGGAAACCGAGUCUUAACCGGGCGUUAAGUUGCAGGGUAUAGACCCGAAACCCGGUGAUCUAGCCAUGGGCAGGUUGAAGGUUGGGUAACACUAACUGGAGGACCGAACCGACUAAUGUUGAAAAAUUAGCGGAUGACCUGUGGCUUGUAG
rnacentral:rRNA from 1 species